CGUCUGUAAGCGGAAGGGCUAUCUCAGCAUCGUUCUUCAUAAAGCGCCGAUACCAGCCCGCAGUUCCCAGGAAGUUAUGCAAUUCUCGGACAGAUCGCGGCUCGGGAAUGCGAUCAGGAUCCAUCUUCACAGGAGAUUAACAAAAGUGAGAUUUACUCAGCCCUAUCGUAAGGUUCGCUCAUCGUAGGCGCUCGGCAACCUGUCGCAGAAUCUUCACGUGCGUUUCGAAGUCCUCGGCUGUAAUCAACAAGUCGUCUAGAUACGCAUAGACGUUUGAACGCAUUUCUACCGGAAUGACCUUGUCGACCAGUCCACAUAGACGUUGUGCAGCGUUGCAGAGGCCAAAGGGCAUCAUAUGGAACUGGUAAAGAGGCCGUCCCGGCACCGUGAAUGCCGUAUAUGCUGGACUCUGCUCGGCUAGCUCGAUUUGCCAAAAAGCGAGUUUUUAAUCGACGCUGGAGAUUAAUAUCGUCUGAUCGAGACAAAAUCCCCUCGAUUCUAGGCACCCACUGCCUUGAUGCGUCCUUGAUGGUUACUUUGUUGAGCUUUCGGGCAUCGAGACAGAAACGAUUUUGCCCGGCCUUCGCACCACUGUACUUGAUGACUUGUUGAUGACCAACAUUUUGUACACCACCCCACACACCACUUCUUGCAGGUUCAGCCGUCUCCACCAACUGAAUUUUAUGAGUCUCUCUCGACGUCCUCUCCAGGCCUACAGAAUUGAAAGUCAGAAACUCUACCUUCACGUGAUCCAAGGCUGCCUUCUGCUCUUCCGACAAUUUCAAUUCUUUCUGCACUAUCUCCUUCUCUGGGCCUUCCACAUAGUGAGCGACUUGAUCAGCCAGCACUUCUUUCACUAAUCUGUGGGAUGCCCCUACUGGACCUUCUCCCAUCACCUCAGGAGCCAAUGAGAAUACCCUCCAAAAGUCUACCCCCAAAAGAAUAGCGCCGAGUCUCUACGCCCAGCUUCUCCAGGAAUUCCUGACCAUUUGGCCCUAGAAUGCUGUGUGUAGCGCCUGAAUCCAAAAUGCCUCGCACGGACUCGCCCAUCAUAGAGAUUUCUGCGAAAACUCUCGGGUCUUUCUUGCAACAGCGUUUUACUGAAGCAAUCACCUACCUCCUCAUAGUUCGCCUUUGCUUAAACCGGGAUCUCGCCUUUUUCAUCCGCACCGACAGUGCUCGCAUACUAUUCACUCGUAGCUCAGAAAAUAUUAUAUUUCGGGUUUCUAAAUAAUUUCUUAACCGCUCUUCAUAUGAUAAGUUAUUUAAUCUAGCAUGCAAAUAACGUCUAUCUAAUUCAUUUUUAUUCUCUUCUACUUUCUCUGCGCAGGCCCCCUCUGUGAGCGUUAUUCGCCUGCUUGGAUCGCACUCCUCUUCGCGUUUCCCGCGCAAUUCUGGCAGUUCGGGCAAUAUGCAUCGGGCUUUCCACACCGGUAGCAAAAAAUUCGCCUCUCCGAUGCCAUACAGUCUCUAAAGCCAUGAUUGGUCUGCCCGCAGUUCCAGCAAAUCAACUUUUACGGAACACGCCGUGUCACUUGCGCUUUCUUAAUGACCUCGACCUCUUCAUCGCUAAUCGACCGAUCCUGUACGACCACGCGGACGUUCGCAUUCGCCCCACGGCCAUAGCUGGUGGCUUUGGGUGCUCCUCACCACGAAGAUCUAGCCUUCCUCUUCAGGUGUGCCUCUAUUUCCACGCAUUCAUCCCGCAGUUGGUCUAAGGAAUAAACCCGUGGUGCCGUCUCCAACCUCGAGGCGAGCUUCCUCAUGAUAUGGAAAAAGUCUUUCACACUCUCGUUUGACCGCUGCAUUCUUUCCCGCAGCUCUCUCAUAUGGUCGAACUCGGACGCCGAGCUUCGGAAACGUGCAAUUAGGUCGUCCCUAAGAUCCUGCCAAACACCACCGCCAUGAUCGCGAAUGUACUGGCAGUACCAUUCCCGCGCGUUUCCUGUAACCUGGUGAUAGAAUCCCUUGAGAACCCCAUCCCACGGGCAGCGACAUUGGGAUUGUAGGAAUUCAAUUCGGAACAAAAAAUCCUCGACCGUCAUUUUGUUGUCUCGGACCCACCGUGGCCAAGGUCUAUAACCCGGCGGGUUUGAAUGCGGAUCUUCUCGAGGAAUUUCACCAGCUCUCCUUCUCUCGCCACGACCCUGACCUGAGUGUCUACGUACUAUCGGGUUUCGCCAAUCUCGCGCUUGAUUCUCUGCCCGUUUAUGCUGCUCACUGGAUGCGGUCGUCCCUACUCCUGAAGACGGUUCCGGACCAAUACCACCUUACCCCAAGCGAGCCAAAAAUGGCCAUUCUUCCUGGCCUGGACAGCUCCAAGUUCCUCCCGACCUUGAUCGAAUAUCGCCCCGGACGCUUCUCCUAUCGCGUCCACUGUUUCGUUUACGCGUGAUCGCGUAUGAUACGGUCGACUACCCCCUUCUUGUGGCAUCUGCACUGAGCAACACCAAUACUACAACAAAAAACGAGGGGGAACGUUGUGAGUUGCUGCGGACACCGCAACUCUACAUUUAU